UACGGAGGGGGUUAGCGUUGUUCGGAAUUACUGGGCGUAAAGCGCGCGUAGGCGGACCUGCAAGUCGGGGGUGAAAUCCCGGGGCUCAACCCUGGAAUGGCCUUCGAGACUGCCGGUCUUGAGUUCGAGAGAGGUGGGUGGAAUUCCGAGUGUAGAGGUGAAAUUCGUAGAUAUUCGGAGGAACACCAGUGGCGAAGGCGGCCCACUGGCUCGACACUGACGCUGAGGUGCGAAAGCGUGGGGAGCAAACAGG
rnacentral:rRNA from 1 species